UUAAAAGGUACUUGAAGCACCAUCACCACUACAUCAGUGUAGUGGUGAUGGUGCUUCAAGUACCAUUUAA